GACGAACGCUGGCGGCGUGCUUAACACAUGCAAGUCGAACGGGAUCCAAAGGCUUUUUGUUUUUGGUGAGAGUGGCGAACGGGUGAGUAACACGUGAGUAACCUGCCCCCUUCUUUUGGAUAACCGCAUGAAAGUGUGGCUAAUACAGGAUAUUCCAGGCUGGUCGCAUGAUUGGUUUGGGAAAUGGUUUGGUCUGGUGGGGGGUGGGCUCGCGGCCUAUCAGCUUGUUGGUGGGGUGAUGGCCUACCAAGGCGGUGACGGGUAGCCGGCCGGGGAGGGUGGGCGGUCACACUGGGACUGAGAUACGGCCCAGACUCAGACGGGAGGCGGCAGUGGGGGAUUUUGCACAAUGGGCGGAAGCCUGAUGCAGCGACGUCGCGUGAGGGAUGAAGGCCUGCGGGUUGUAAACCUCUUUCGCUGGGUUGAAAGGCCAUGCUUUGGGUGUGGUUGAUUUGAACUGGUAAAGAAGUACCGGCUAACUACGUG
rnacentral:rRNA from 1 species